rnacentral:lncRNA from 10 species
UUAACCUUGCCUUCAAGGUGUACAAUAAUAGAGAAGAGUGGCAAUUACUUGCCUCUGCUGUGAGAGAAACUUCAGCCACAUCUCCAGCAUACAAGAAUUUCAAAACGCCUAAACCGCAGUGGCCAGGCGUUCUUCCAAGACCUCCUACCCCAGGAUCUUGCUUCAAGUACUGAAAAUGUGGCCACUGGGCCAAGGAAUGUCUGCAGCCCGGAUUCCUCCUAAGCAAUGUCCCAUCUGUGCAGGACCCCACUGGAAAUUGGACUGUCCAACUCACCUGGCAGCCAUUCCUAGAGUUCCUGGAACUCUGGCGCAAGGCUCACUGACUGACUCCUUCCCAGAUCUUCUCGGCUUAGUGGCUGAAGACUGACACUGCCCGAUCGCCUUGGAAGCCUCCUGGACCAUGAUAGAUGCUUUAGAUUCCCAGCCUUAUGAAGACACCCUAUCUGGACGAUCAGUUCUUGUUAAGAAUCUGACCCCUCAAACUCUACAACCUCGACGGACCGGACCCUACUUAGUCAUCUAUAAUACCCUAACUGCCGUCCUCCUGCAGGACCCUCCCCAUUGGGUUCACCGUUCCAGAAUAAAGCCGUGUCCAUUGGACAGCCAGCCUGAUCUCUCCUCUUCCUUCUGGAAGUCGCGAGUACUCACCCCUACUUCCCUUAAACUCACCCACAUUUCUGAAGAACAGUAGUAACCCUUAUGAGCCUAAUACAUCCCUUCAUUUUGUUAGGUCUAUCCUUCCUUACCAGAGUCUUUGCAACAGGGCCUUAUGCAGUCACCCCCACUACUUAGACUGCAUCCCAAAAACUUUUCAUCCCUGCUCUCUUCUGUCUAGUCAUACUCCUAUUCUUCGUUUUCACCUCUCCAUACAUGCCCUGCCCUUGUCUACACUGCCAGCUUAUACUUUUCCUCCAAACCAUCAUAGCUGGUCCUGGUCUUAUCCCCUAACUGCCACUCUUAACUCCCUCUUGGAAUGGAUAAAUGGCCUUUGCUGGAAAAGCACACUCCACUUCUUUCACCCAUUUUACAUUUCCAGUUUCGCCUUACGCAAGGUCUCUUCUUCCUCUGUGGCUCCUCCACCUGCAUGUGUCCACCUGUUAAUGAGACAGGAACAUGUACACUAGUUUUCCUUACCCCAAAAAUCAAUUUGCAAAUAAGACCGAGCAGCUUCCUGUUCCCCUCAUGACACCAACACUUCACUAUUAUUUUAUUUUUUCUUAUUAUUAAUAUAAGAAGACAGGAAUAGGCCUUGACUUACUCACUGCUGAAAAAGGAAGACUCUGUAUAUUUUUAAAUGAAGACUGUUGUUUUUACCUAAAUCAGUCUGGCCUGGUAUAUGACAACAUAAAAAAAUUCAAGGAUAGAGGCCAAAAACUCACCAGCCAAGCAAAUAAUCAUGCUGAACCCCCUUAGGCACUCUCUAAUUUGAAGUCCUGGGUCCUCCCAAUUCUUAGUCCUUUAAUACUUGUUUUUCUCCUUUUCUUAUUCGGACCUUAUGUCUUCUGUUUAGUUUCUCAGUUCAUACAAAACCAUAUCCAGGCCAUCACCAAUCAUCCUAUAUGACAAAUGCUCCUUCUAACAACCCCAGAAUAUCACCCCUUACCACAAAAUCUUCCUUCCUCUUAAUCUCUCCCACUCUAGGUUCCCAUGCCACCCCUAAUCCUGCUCGAAGCAGCCCUGAGAAACAUCACCCAUUAUCUCUCCAUACCACCCCCCAAAAUUUUCCCCACCCCAACACUUCACCACUGUUUGUUUUUCUUAUUAAUAUAAGAAGACAAGAAUGUCAGGACUCUGAGCCCAAGCCUGCACAUAUACAUCCAGAUGGCACGAAGCUACUGAAGAAUCACAAAAGAAGUGAAAAUGGUCGGUUCCUGCCUUAACUGAUGACAUUACCUUGUGAAAUUCCUUCUGGCUCAGAAGCUCCCCCACUGAGCACCUUGUGACCCCCGCCCCUGCCCUCAAGAGAACAACCCCCUUUGACUGUAAUUUUCCACUACCUACCCAAAUCCUAUAAAACUGCCCCAGCCCUAACUUCCUUUGCUGACUCUCUUUUUGGACUUAGCCCACCUGCAAUUAAAAAGCUUUAUUGCUCACACAAAGCCUGUUGGUGGUCCCUUCACACGGACACACGUGACAAUGCACACAC